CGUGGCGUCGCAGCUCAUGGGCACAGUCAGCAGCCAGCCUGUCACACUGAGAAGAGAUGGGGGUGGAGCCCUGCCAUCUCAGCUGCCUGCUCCCCCUGGUGCUGCCUACACUGUCAACUGAAGCGAGCUCCAGCCAAGGAACUGUUUUGAUUGAGCAGGAGAGAGUGGGGUCCAGCCAGUCCCACCAUUCUGAGCACCAGGGACAGUACUUUCUGAACUCCAAGGGGACGCUGAACAGAUACUGCAGGCCACCCAUAGAGGAGAUGACCACGAUGAGUCCCCGGCCAGCUGGGACCAUCAUCCGUGCCCCAUA